rnacentral:rRNA from 1 species
AGAGUUUGAUUAUGGCUCAGGAUAAACGCUGGCGGCGUGCUUAACACAUGCAAGUCGAACGGGGUUAUUUCGAGUAGCUUGCUACAUGAAAUAACCUAGUGGCGGACGGGUGAGUAACGCGUGGGAAACCUGCCUCGUACUGGGGGAUAACAGUUGGAAACGACUGUUAAUACCGCAUAAGCGCACAGUGUCGCAUGACACAGUGUGAAAAACUCCGGUGGUACGAGAUGGUCCCGCGUCUGAUUAGUUAGUUGGCGAGGUAACGGCUCACCAAGACGACGAUCAGUAGCCGGCCUGAGAGGGUGUACGGCCACAUUGGGACUGAGACACGGCCCAAACUCCUACGGGAGGCAGCAGUGGGGAAUAUUGCACAAUGGGCGAAAGCCUGAUGCAGCGACGCCGCGUGAGUGAUGAAGUAUCUCGGUAUGUAAAGCUCUAUCAGCAGGGAAGAUAAUGACGGUACCUGACUAAGAAGCACCGGCUAAAUACGUGCCAGCAGCAGC